AGCAUGAUGACAUACCGCGUGAGUGAGGAGGCUCUUGGAGUUGUAAACCUCUUUUCUCAGGGAAUAAGAACUGAAGGUACCUGAGGAAUAAGCAUCGGCUAACUCCGUGCCAGCAGCCGCGGUAAUACGGAGGAUGCAAGCGUUAUCCGGAAUGAUUGGGCGUAAAGGGUCCGCAGGUGGCCUUGUAAGUCUGCUGUUAAAGAGUGAGGCUUAACCUCAUAAAAGCAGUGGAAACUACAAAGCUAGAGUGCGUUCGGGGUAGCAGGAAUUCCUGGUGUAGCGGUGAAAUGCGUAUAGAUCAGGAAGAACACCGGUGGCGAAAGCGUGCUACUAGGCCGUAACUGACACUGAGGGACGAAAGCUAGGGGAGCGAAUGGGAUUAGAUACCCCCUGUAGACAUC
rnacentral:rRNA from 1 species